rnacentral:rRNA from 1 species
CUACGUGCCAGCAGCCGCGGUAAUACGGAGGGUGCGAGCGUUAAUCGGAAUAACUGGGCGUAAAGGGCACGCAGGCGGUGACUUAAGUGAGGUGUGAAAGCCCCGGGUUUAACCUGGGAAUUGCAUUUCAUACUGGGUCGCUAGAGUACUUUAGGGAGGGGUAGAAUUCCACGUGUAGCGGUGAAAUGCGUAGAGAUGUGGAGGAAUACCGAAGGCGAAGGCAGCCCCUUGGGAAUGUACUGACGCUCAUGUGCGAAAGCGUGGGGAGCAAACAGGAUUAGAUACCCUGGUAGUCCACGCUGUAAACGAUGUCGAUUUGGGGGUUGAGCUUUAAGUUUGGCGCCCGUAGCUAACGUGAUAAAUCGACCGCCUGGGGAGUACGGCCGCAAGGUUAAAACUCAAAUGAAUUGACGGGGGCCCGCACAAGCGGUGGAGCAUGUGGUUUAAUUCGAUGCAACGCGAAGAACCUUACCUACUCUUGACAUCCAGAGAACAUUC